UUUGGCCAACUCCCAUCAUGGGCACCAUAUUGGAGACUGUCAUCAGAUGACUCUACAGUGUAACCCUAUGGGGCAAAAAUGCUAUCUUGAAUAAAUCGCUUAUUUUCACUGUAAAAAGGCAUAUACAGGUAAUUAUCAAU